UACGAACGGUCCAAACGUUAUUCGGAAUCACUGGGCUUAAAGCGUCCGUAGGCGGCUCGGAAAGUAGGGUGUGAAAUCCCACGGCUCAACCGUGGAAUUCGCUCUAAACUAUCGAGCUAGAGGGAGAUAGAGGUGAGCGGGAACUGAUGGUGGAGCGGUGAAAUGCGUUGAUAUCAUCAGGAACACCGGAGGCGAAGGCGGCUCACUGGCCCGGUACUGACGCUGAGGAGCGAAAGCGUGGGGAGCGAACAGG
rnacentral:rRNA from 1 species